rnacentral:rRNA from 1 species
CAGCGCCGCGGUAAUACGAAGGGGGCUAGCGUUGUUCGGAUUUACUGGGCGUAAAGCGCACGCAGGCGGACCCUUAAGUCAGAGGUGAAAUCCCAAGGCUCAACCUUGGAACUGCCUUUGAUACUGGGGAUCUCGAGUUCGGGAGAGGUGAGUGGAACUGCGAGUGUAGAGGUGAAAUUCGUAGAUAUUCGCAAGAACACCAGCGGCGAAGGCGGCUCACUGGCCCGAUACUGACGCUGAGGUGCGAAAGCGUGGGGAGCAAACAGGAUUAGAUACCCCAGUAGUCCCUGUCUCUUAUACA